CCGAAUCUUGAGAUUCUAUCUCUUCUUCUCUCUCUUAGACAAACCAACAAGACUUGUAUUUUUUACCUUCGUGGGUUUAUAUAUUUUUCAAAUCUUGAGAUAUCUUACAGUGACCCAAACCGAAACCCAAUUCCAGAAACGACUAAUGACACGAACUCGACUGAAGCCGUGCAACAAUUCAAACUGUACCACGCUCUCAUCUUCUCCAUUCCCAUUUGUUUCACAUUUAUCGUCCUCUUUGUCUUCUACGUCAUUUAUCUACGUCGACGAAGCAGCAGCGUCGACUGGUCUUCUCUUGGAAUGCGUGGCGGUGGUAGCUUUGUUUCCACCAACAAUCUCUCAAAGGCUGAAUUAGGGCUGAGCAAAGAAUUGAGAGAGAUGCUUCCCAUUGUCAUCUUCAAAGAGAGUUACUCAAUCAAUGACUCACAGUGAGUUUUCAUUUUUCUUUGUUUUUUUUUAUUUUUUUUGGCUCAACUACAACUUUCAUUAUCCAAAUUUGUGAAUACAAAGAUUUUAACCUCACACAGAUUUAAACCCCACAUACAAACACCGAGAUUUAGUACCACCCAUGAACACUUAGAAGGAUCAUACGCUACCCAAUCGAAACGGCGUUAUAUUUUUCACCACAAUGAGAACAAGUUUAUCCCACGACUCGAGAUAAACUGUCUCUUGCACCACCUACUUCUACCGUACGAGACAGAGACAUACAAACCCAAACACAAUGAAAUCUACACAAGAUGACUUCAUGAGACCAUAGCAUUGGUUGCCAAAUGAUUAGAGUGAAAGCUCGGACCAACACUGCAACACCAGAACGGUGCAUAUCCAGCAUAGACCAUCACAUUCGGGUUCUGUGUCCUGCUCCUUAGCCAAAAGGACGGAAACAGGUUCCGUACUGAGAAAGACGGACUUCGACGGCAGCAGCGAGACUGGUUCAGCACACAAAGCUUCCAAUGGUGUGGGCUCGUACCGCUCGCUUAACAGAUUCCUUGCCACCGACGCUGGGAAGUAGAGCACCACCGCGUGUCACCUGCAAAGAACACUCCUCCGGUUGACCAAUCCGAUGGUGUGGGUUCUUGCAACGCGUCCGUCACCGAGAACCGGAUCUCUGAACCAUUUUUCACCGCUCAUCACACCAUUCCUCCGAUAGUCUCACUGUCACAUGGUAGGUGAAAUCCAAGGUGGAGGAGCUUCCCACUGAGUCACGUGCCCCGCCGUGAAGAGAGCCACCGUAGAUCUUAAAAG